CUACGGGAGGCAGCAGUGGGGAAUAUUGGGCAAUGGGGGGAACCCUGACCCAGCAACGCCGCGUGAGGGAAGAAGGUUUUCGGAUCGUAAACCUCUGUCCUAUGUGAAGAGGAAGAGACGGUAGCAUAGGAGGAAGCCCCGGCUAACUACGUGCCAGCAGCCGCGGUAAUACCUAGGGGGCGAGCGUUGUCCGGAAUGAUUGGGCGUAAAGGGCGCGUAGGCGGCUUGAUAAGUCUGGAGUGAAAGUCCUGUUUUCAAGAUGGGAAUUGCUUUGGAUACUGUUGAGCUUGAGUGCGGGAGAGGUUAUCGGAAUUCCCGGUGUAGCGGUGAAAUGCGUAGAGAUCGGGAGGAACACCAGUGGCGAAGGCGGGUAACUGGACCGCAACUGACGCUGAGGCGCGAAAGUGUGGGGAGCAAACAGGAUUAGAUACCCUGGUAGUCCACACUGUAAACGAUGAAUGCUAGGUGUAAGAGGUAUCGACCCCUUUUGUGCCGCAGUCAACACAAUAAGCAUUCCGCCUGGGGAGUACGGCCGCAAGGUUGAAACUCAAAGGAAUUGACGGGGGCCCGCACAAGCAGCGGAGCAUGUGGUUUAAUUCGACGCAACGCGAAGAACCUUACCAGGUCUUGACAUCCACUUAAAGCCAUAGAGAUAUGGUGUGAGCUUGCUCGAAGUGAGACAGGUGGUGCAUGGUUGUCGUCAGCUCGUGUCGUGAGAUGUUGGGUUAGUCCUGCCCGGGGACACCUC
rnacentral:rRNA from 1 species